UCCAGACCAAUCCAGAUCCAUCCCGUGCGACUUUCCUCCAGCCAACAAUGGAGUUCCGAUCUCAUGCGCUGGCCGCUGCCGGCGCCGUCCGCCCCUAAUGCUUCGGGUGCCUUCUGCCGCUGCAGCCACCACCACCACGACCUUGUCUCCUCUGCCCCCUUUCCCGUCUCUCCCCGCCAUAUUCUCCGGCCACCUCCCACAUCUCCUUGGACGCCGACCGCUGCAAGUACGCCGCGGGGUACGCGCUGCACAUCCUCGCCGGCGGCGGCGCCACAUGCUACUCACUCUUCUCCAUCGACACGCUCCACGGCCACCCCCUUCAGGUACGCGCUGCUCCCUGAGGACAUCCACACCGUCUGCAUGAAGUUGGGGUUCAGAUCGCCGUCAUCGUCACCGCCGGCCAUUAAUCAGUUCGCUAGGAUGUAUUUCACGCCCGUCGUUCCUCGCACUUACUUAGCCUGAUCUAUCAAAUCGCAGUACUAGCGCUUUCUGUGGUCUCACAUCACAGUUUUCUCUGCCCAAACUGCAGGAGGCAUGAAGAGAUUGGCUAUAGACCAGGCAGGAGAAUAGGGGAUAGGAAAAUGCAAAAAAUUGCCAGGCAAUAUAUGUUCUCUUGCACGUUUGAAUCCUGAUUUGGAUUAUCCUACAGAUUUGAAUAUUUUUAUCAUACCAAUUAGCUUUUUAUUUUUUCGUGAGUAUAAUGAUAUGCCUGAUGCCCAAGGUUGUGCUUUUCCUCCUCAUAGUCCAAGUUACUCGAAAAUAGAUAUCAUAGCCCUGUAUUUGAUUGCAGUAGAAGUAUCAUAGAUUCAUCUCCACAUAUACCCCAUCUGUGGGUGUCAAGCCAAUCACCCUGAUUCCUAUAUGCUAGCCUGAGUUGUGAAUCGUUGUCUCCUUAGGACUGUUAACCUAGAAAUUCUCAAAAUAAAGCAAAACAUCAAGCCCUUGAUCAUGUGGACCCUUACUUCAAAAAGCAUGGAUGUGAUCUAAUAUAAGCUUAUUCUUUGAUUUUCCACCGAGAUUCCUCACGCUGUGCACAGAUGAAGGAUGUUGGGCCAUUUAGAUGCCUUCUUCAGCGCGCCGUCAUCCUCUCCUCCUCUAGCCAACAUCGAUGGCAUUUCGGCGUUGAGGAGAAAGUAUCGUGUCACAUAUAUGCUUCUUGAUUCCCUGGAUUCUGGAUCUCCUUGGGAAAAAGUAGGUGAAUGAUUUUCAAAGGCUGUAGCUAAUGGAGACUGUAGCACGCUGGUAUAGUGUCAGGUCCUGACGAUCAUGAGUGUGUUGCAUGCCUGGGGACUGGCUCGUUGUGUGAAGUGACCCAGUGGCCGACGUGGGUGAGGACCUGUAGACCGGGCACAAUGGUGAGGAUGAACGAGAAUGUGCUGGCGCCUGUGCGCGCCACCACGCCCACCGCCAGCUCCAGCCGCGGGCUGCAGCAGCACAUCAUCCCGCUGCUUGACGUCAGAAUUCUCGUCUGCGGUGGUGAGGCAGAGACGGCGCUCGAGGGUAGGGGCUUGGACGCCGAGGCCGAGCGAGGGGAUGGCGAGGAGCUUGAAGACGAGUUGGUUGACGUGCUGGCCUGGGAGCUCUGGUCGGCGGCGUCAAAGGCGCUGAUGUCGCCGAUGGGGAUGGACGGUGGGCCUGGUCAUACGGCCGAUUACGUUAUUACAGUUCAUUAGAGUAACCAAACAAAUUCUGUUUUUUCUCCAUUCCCUUUACAGUAACUGUAUAACUCGAUUGUGUUUGCGUUUGCGUUAAGUUCCUUGCACCGAACACCUCCUAGGUGUAUACGCGAGCAGCAAUUACGAAAACAGUAGAUGAUGUGCAAUUAGCAGUUUAUUAUGCCUUA